AACGCGAAGAACCUUACCAGCUUUUGACAUGUCCCGUAUGAGAAACAGAAAUGUAUCUCUUCACUUCGGGUGGCGGGAACACAGGUGCUGCAUGGCUGUCGUCAGCUCGUGUCGUGAGAUGUUGGGUUAAGUCCCGCAACGAGCGCAACCCUCGCCCUUAGUUGCCAUCAUUCAGUUGGGCACUCUAAGGGGACUGCCGGUGAUAAGCCGCGAGGAAGGUGGGGAUGACGUCAAGUCCUCAUGGCCCUUACAGGCUGGGCUACACACGUGCUACAAUGGCGGUGACAAUGGGAGGCAAUGGCGCGAGCCUGCGCAAAUCUCAAAAAGCCGUCUCAGUUCGGAUUGCACUCUGCAACUCGAGUGCAUGAAGUUGGAAUCGCUAGUAAUCGCGGAUCAGCACGCCGCGGUGAAUACGUUCCCGGGCCUUGUA
rnacentral:rRNA from 1 species